rnacentral:rRNA from 1 species
UACGAAGGGGGCUAGCGUUGCUCGGAAUCACUGGGCGUAAAGGGUGCGUAGGCGGGUUUUAAGUCAGAGGUGAAAUCCUGGAGCUCAACUCCAGAACUGCCUUUGAUACUGGGAAUCUUGAGUAUGGAAGAGGUGAGUGGAACUGCGAGUGUAGAGGUGAAAAUUCGUAGAUAUUCGCAAAGAACACCAGUGGCGAAAGGCGGCUCACUGGUCCAUAACUGAACGCUGAGGCACGAAAGCGUGGGGGAGCA